UCCGGCUUAUCACCGGCAGUCCCCUUAGAGUGCCCGGCCGAACCCGUUGGCAACUGAAGAUGAGGGUUGCGCUCGUUGCGGGACUUAACCCAACAUCUCACGACACGAGCUGACGACAGCCAUGCAGCACCUGUGUUCCGGUUCCCUUGCGGGCACAACCGCCUUUCAGCGGCCUUCCGGACAUGUCAAGGGUAGGUAAGGUUGUUCGCGUUGCAUCGAAUUAAUCCACAUCAUCCACCGCUUGUGCGGGUCCCCGUCAAUUCCUUUGAGUUUUAAUCUUGCGACCGUACUCCCCAGGCGGUCAACUUCACGCGUUAGCUGCGGUACCAAGAACUUGCGCUCCCGACACCUAGUUGACAUCGUUUAGGGCGUGGACUAC
rnacentral:misc_RNA from 1 species